UCGCUUUGGCAGCAAAUGCACUAAAACUGGAAUGACACAGAGCAGAUUAUUAGCAUGGUCCCUUCGAAAGGAGGACGUGCAAAUGUGUGAGGCAUUCUGUAUUGGU
ensembl:snRNA U6 U6 spliceosomal RNA